rnacentral:misc_RNA from 1 species
GGUGAAGAACGUAGCGAAAUGCGAUAAGUAGUGUGAAUUGCAGAAUUCAGUGAAUCAUCGAAUCUUUGAACGCACAUUGCGCCCCUUGGUAUUCCAUGGGGCAUGCCUGUUCGAGCGUCAUUUACACCCUCAGGCUCCGCUUGGUGUUGGGCGUCUGUCCCGCUUCGUGCGCGGACUCGCCCCAAAGGCAUUGGCAGCGGUCCUUGCCAGCUUCUCGCGCAGCACAUUGCGCUUCUCGAGGCUGGCGGAUCGGCGUCCAUCAAGCCCACUUCCACAGUUUGACCUCGGAUCAGGUAGGGAUACCCGCUGAACUUAAGCAUAUCAAUAAGCGGAGGA